AUGCUUAGUGGCGGACUGGUGAGUAACGCGUGAGGAACCUGCCUUUCAGAGGGGGACAACAGUUGGAAACGACUGCUAAUACCGCAUGACACAUGAAUGGGGCAUCCCAUUGAUGUCAAAGAUUUAUCGCUGAAAGAUGGCCUCGCGUCCCAUUAGCUAGUAGGCGGGGUAACGGCCCACCUAGGCGACGAUGGGUAGCCGGACUGAGAGGUUGACCGGCCACAUUGGGACUGAGAUACGGCCCAGACUCC
rnacentral:rRNA from 1 species